AUUGAACGCUGGCGGCAGGCCUAACACAUGCAAGUCGAGCGGAUGAAGGGAGCUUGCUCCUGGAUGCAGCGGCGGACGGGUGAGUAAUGCCUAGGAAUCUGCCUGGUAAUGGGGGAUAACGUCCGGAAACGGGCGCUAAUACCGCAUACGUCCUGAGGUAGAAAGUGGGGGAUCUUCGGACAUCACGCUAUCAGAUGAGCCUAGGUCGGAUUAGCUAGUUGGUGGGGUAAAGGCCUACCAAGGCGACGAUCCGUAACUGGUCUGAGAGGAUGAUCAGUCACACUGGAACUGAGACACGGUCCAGACUCCUACGGGAGGCAGCAGUGGGGAAUAUUGGACAAUGGGCGAAAGCCUGAUCCAGCCAUGCCGCGUGUGUGAAGAAGGUCUUCGGAUUGUAAAGCACUUUAAGUUGGGAGGAAGGGCAGUAAGUUAAUACCUUGCUGUUUUGACGUUACCAACAGAAUAAGCACCGGCUAACUUCGUG
rnacentral:rRNA from 1 species